CAUAUUACUGGCUUCUCUUCAGAGUUGUCAAGCCAGCAGAGGAUUUUGGUUCAAAGGCCAGAGAAAAGACAGAUAAUUAGACUUAACUCUUCCUUUUCUUCAUAUAACGAAAAAGUUAAAAUAUUUACAUAAUGAACAAAGUUGCAAUGAUCUUUCUUUUCAUUUUUGUAUUUUUAAUGGACUGUCUGCUUCAUUUGAACAUGAUUUAUUCAGCACCCAUAAAAUUGAAUCAAUCACCAGCCAAACCAAAUGAAAACAAUAGCAGUCAUCAACAUAGCGGAUUUCCAUCAAAGUACUCAGGCAUGAUGAGAAAUGAGACUGUUGUUCUAGAGGGAAAAGUCUGGAAAAAUUCUGAUAUAGCAUAUGCUAUACCUAAACGAUACAUCAAAUGGGAUAUAGGGAAUAUGGACUUCUAAAAUUCACAAAUAGUCCUCUAAUCAAAUCUCUUUUAGACAGUACCACACAAAUCAAAACAAUAAAUGCAUCAUUUAAUUAGCAAAGUAUGGCUACUCUUCUUUCAACCAAAUAAACUGCAAGUGUCAUACUGA
rnacentral:lncRNA from 1 species